UUCGCAAUGCCCGAAAGGGUGACGAAGCGACGCCGCGUGUGGGAAGAAGGCCUUCGGGUUGUAAACCACUGUCGGGAGUUAAGAAAUGUAAGAAUGUUAAUAGCGUUCUUACUUGACUAAGGCUCCGGAGGAAGCCACGGCUAACUCUGUGCCAGCAGCCGCGGUAAUACAGAGGCGGCAAGCGUUGUCCGGAAUUAUUGGGCGUAAAGAGCACGUAGGCGGCUUUGUAAGUCGGUUGUGAAAGCCUUCUGCUUAACGGAAGAACAGCAGUUGAAACUACAGGGCUUGAGUGUGGGAGAGGAGAGUGGAACUUCUGGUGGAGCGGUGAAAUGCGUAGAUAUCAGAAGGAACGCCGGCGGCGAAAGCGGCUCUCUGGCCCGUAACUGACGCUGAGUGUGCGAAAGCUAGGGGAGCAAACGGGAUUAGAUACCCCGGUAGUCCUAGCCGUAAACGAUGGGCACUAAGUAGAGGGGUUUU
rnacentral:rRNA from 1 species